GCGAUAUGUCGUGUUACUUCCGUUAACGAACGAGACCACAGCCUACUAAAUAGUACGUGUUAUGGUAACAUAGUAUGAGACUUCUUAGAGGGACAUUUCGGGUCUACCGAAAGGAAGUUUGUGGCAAUAACAGGUCUGUGAUGCCCUUAGAUGUUCUGGGCCGCACGCGCGCUACACUGACGACUUCAACAAGUUUUUUGGCAUUGCCAAAUUUCCUUGGCCGGAAGGUCUGGGUAAUCUUUUAAAAGGGCGUCGUGAUGGGGCUAGAUUCUUGCAAUUAUUAAUCUCCAACGAGGAACC
rnacentral:rRNA from 1 species